rnacentral:rRNA from 1 species
AGCGAACGCUGGCGGCAUGCUUAACACAUGCAAGUCGCACGAAGGUUUCGGCCUUAGUGGCGGACGGGUGAGUAACGCGUAGGUAUCUAUCCACGGGGUGGGGGAGUAACAGCGGGAAACUGCUGCUAAUACCGCAUGAUACCCGAGGGUCAAAGGCGCAAGUCGCCUGUGGAGGAGCCUGCGUACGAUUAGCUUGUUGGUGGGGUAAAGGGCCUACCAAGGCGACGAUCGUUAGCUGGUCUGAGAGGAUGAUCAGCCACAUUGGGACUGAGACACGGCCCAAACUCCUACGGGAGGCAGCAGUGGGGAAUAUUGGACAAUGGGCGAAAGCCUGAUCCAGCAAUGCCGCGUGUGUGAAGAAGGUCUUAGGAUUGUAAAGCACUUU